rnacentral:rRNA from 1 species
UAGGGAAUCUUCGGCAAUGGACGAAAGUCUGACCGAGCAACGCCGCGUGAGUGAAGAAGGUUUUCGGAUCGUAAAACUCUGUUGUUAGAGAAGAACAAGGACGUUAGUAACUGAAGGUCCCCUGACGGUAUCUAACCAGAAAGCCACGGCUAACUACGUGCCAGCAGCCGCGGUAAUACGUAGGUGGCAAGCGUUGUCCGGAUUUAUUGGGCGUAAAGCGAGCGCAGGCGGUUUCUUAAGUCUGAUGUGAAAGCCCCCGGCUCAACCGGGGAGGGUCAUUGGAAACUGGGAGACUUGAGUGCAGAAGAGGAGAGUGGAAUUCCAUGUGUAGCGGUGAAAUGCGUAGAUAUAUGGAGGAACACCAGUGGCGAAGGCGGCUCUCUGGUCUGUAACUGACGCUGAGGCUCGAAAGCGUGGGGAGCAAACAGG